CCCCUGGAUAAUGGGGUAUUGUGGAUUCGUGUAAUGCCCUAGGACCCUCCCUCGGACUUCAUUCAUAAAGACCUCUAGCCCAGGGUCUCUCCCUGUAAAUUAGGAGUUGGAACCUCAAUAGGAAGAUGCAAAAAAUGACUACGACUCCCAGAAUGCACUACAACCCAGAUCGGCGUGGAGCGGUGCAUGUUGGGAGUCCUUCCCUUCCGGGAGACAGAGGAAGCGCUUUUUUGAAUUUGUCAGUGGAGGCUGAAGUUUUUUGGAGUCGCUGGUUCUUUUCUCGGUUAACCGUGAAUCUUUGAGAACAGAGAGAGUCUGCCUCAGUCUUUCAGGCCGAAGAAGUUAACCGACGCUGCGCACGCACUCCUCUGCCCGCGAGCCAGACGGCGUCAGCAGUGGGACCCGAAGAGGAAGCCGAACACAGGGCAGUGUAGCUGCGGCCGGAUCUCCGAGCCAGUAGAAACUGACCGCCCCAACUCUCGUUCCCUAGGCCCAAUGCUUUGAUCUAAUUGGUGUCUGGGCUGGUUUCUUGUCCUGGAUCGGGACUUCGGCGCGGACCUUUGGUCAGGCUUGGCCUUGUGACAUUCCGGUUAUUGCUUCCUCACCACUUAACCAUCCGAGCGCUUGUUGCCGGCUUCCGUACAUCUCUCAUCCACUUGUUCUGAUCAAAGUGUUGAGGAGUUAAAUCGUAUCCUGUAUCUAAUCCAGUCCCAGCCGCGAGAAAGGAAGAAACUCUCUGGGUGCGACGCUCUUCCUACAAGAGUUACCUGCUGUACAAUGCUAUCUUGUGAUAUUUGUGGUGAAACAGUAACCUCAGAACCAGACAUGAAGUCUCACCUCUUAAUUGUCCACAUGGAAAAUGAAGUUAUAUGCCCAUUUUGCAAGUUGUCAGGUGUGAAUUAUGAUGAAAUGUGUUUUCAUAUUGAAACUGCACAUUUUGAGCAAAAUGAACGAGAAAGAAACUUUGAGAGGAUUAAUACAAUCCAGUAUGGAACUUCAGAUAACAGGAAGGACAGCACCCUACAAAGUAGAAUGGAAGUUAAUUCAAGUAUUCAUUCAGCUUGUGCAUCUAAUCAUCCAAAAAUUUCAGCUCAAAGCCUGCCUAAGGAUGCUACUUUAAAACAUAAAGACUUGUAUUUGGACAACUUAACUGAAUCUAGAAAAUUCCUGAAAAGUAAAGGAAAACAGUGUGACCAAACCAAAAUAAAAGAAUCAAUUUAUGAAACAAUGUAUAGUCCUCCUGAAUGUCCAUUCUGUGGAAAAAUAGAGGAUUGUAGUCAAAAUAUGGAAACUCAUGUGAAAAUAAAGCAUGCCAAUCUUUUAGACACUCCAUUAGAAGGCUGUGAUCAACCACUCUAUGAUUGCCCUAUGUGUGGGCUCAUCUGUACAAAUUACCAUAUUCUCCAGGAACAUGUUGACUUGCAUUUGGAAGAAAGCAGCUUUGCACAAGGCAUGGAUAGAGUCCAGUGUUCUGGAGAUCUAGAAUUGGCUCAUCAGCUUCAACAAGAAGAAGACAGAAAGAGGAGAUCUGAAGAAUCAAGACAAGAAAUGGAAGAAUUUCAGAAGCUGCAGAGACAAUAUGGUUUAGAUAAUUCUGGAGGGUACAAACAACAGCAGCUACGAAAUAUGGAGACAGAAGUAAAUAGGGGAAGAAUGCAUCCAUCUGAAUUUCAUAGAAGAAAAGCUGAUAUGAUGGAAUCACUAGCUAUGGGUAUUGAUGAUGGAAAAACAAAAACUUCUGGAAUUAUGGAAGCACUUUAUAGGUAUUAUCAGAAUGCUGCCACAGAUGUGAGGCGUGUGUGGCUUUCUGCAGUAGUGGAUCACUUUCAUUCGUCUUUUGGUGACAAAGGUUGGGGUUGUGGUUACAGAAAUUUCCAAAUGCUGCUUUCGUCGUUAUUACAAAAUGAUGCUUACGAUGAUUGCUUAAAAGGUAUGUCAGUUCCUUGCAUUCCAAAAAUUCAGUCUAUGAUUGAAGAUGCAUGGAAGGAAGGUUUUGAUCCUCAGGGUGCCUCUCAACUUAAUAACAGGUUACAGGGAACAAAGGCGUGGAUUGGAGCCUGUGAAGUAUAUACACUUCUGACCUCCCUAAGGAUAAAGUGCCGUAUUGUUGACUUUCACAAGUCAACUGGUCCUUUGGGUACACACCCUCGCUUAUUUGAAUGGAUAUUGAGCUAUUAUUCUUCAGAGAGAGAAGGGAGUCCAAAAGUAAUGUGUACAUCUAAACCUCCUAUCUAUCUUCAGCAUCAAGGUCAUAGUCGAACAGUUGUUGGAAUUGAAGAAAGAAAAAACCGAACCUUAUGUUUACUAAUAUUUGAUCCUGGAUGCCCUUCUCAAGACAUGCAGAAACUCUUAAAGCAAGACCUGGAAGCUAGCAGUCUCAAGCAGCUUCGGAAAUUUGUGGGAAAUUUGAAACAUAAGCAAUACCAGAUAGUGGCAGUAGAGGGUGUUCUUUCUUCAGAGGAGACCGCUGCCAGGAGACAAGAUUCUCAAAUCUUUACAGCCGAGAAGAUUCCUUGAAGAAGUCCAUAAAACUGCAAGGGCUUUGUGUCAGGGACGCCCUUGUCAGUGAGAUGACCGCCACAACUGAGCGUACCCAUCUGACCACCAGUGUGCCCUUCCAUGGAGAAAUGGAAUGGGGGAGUCAGUGCUUUAACUUGCUUGUACCAUCACGGAUUUUCAGGACGCGUGUCUAAGACCUUGGUCAGCAUUUCAGAAAGAUGAUCAUACCUACCCGAAGAAAGAAAAUUCCAGGUAAUACCCCUAUCAAAAGCAUUUGAAAAGACAAUUCAUGCAUACUCAGUUGGUUUUAAGGAAACUUCAACAGCUCGAAGCUUUUGGAGAUUUUCCAUGGAAAACCACUUAACAGUAACUUCUAUCGCUGCCAAGAACUUAUUCUAAAAUUUUCCUUAGAAAUUUUCUUAAGUAUGAUAUGAAUAUUUAAUUUAUUAAAGAAAACAUAUUCCGGCAAGAUAUAUGCUGUACAUCGGUACAUUUUCUCAUUUUAUUUCAGAUUGAAAUUUCUUGGUAAUAUAUUUAAAAUGACUGUAUAUUUAAAGUGACUAACCUUAUUUUUCAUUCUUUUAUCUUAACUUCUUUUCCUUCCCCCUUCCCCUUUCCUCACCAAAUCCAAUUUGAUUUCUAAAUCCAGUUGACUCUCUUAAGAUCUGUUCUAUUCUUUCCCAUUUCCUAAGCUAAUUAUGUACUUCAGCGUUUUUAGACCUAUAAGAAAUGCAUUUCAUAUUGCAACCCCCACUCACACAACUGAAAGAAGUGUCAUCAGAUGUUGCUCACCUGUAUUAAAAUGUGAUACAUCUAAUAUUUUUUGUUUUAUUCUAUUAAAAACUCUGCCCUGGCUUUUUAUUUCAUAACUGAAUUAAUGAAACUGCCUCUGACCUCUCUGUUGAUUAAUUAAUUAACCUCUAACCCCUUAUUAAUUCAUUACAUUUUAUACAUAAUUGCUAGGAUGUGCUUUUUUAAAUACCAGAUUUACAAUGUGAAUUUACUAUUUAAGAGCCCAAAAUGCCUGUCAGGCCAAAAAGAAACUCCUCUGUCCAGUGUGGAAACUUGCAUAAAUUGACUCUCUGGCAGAUAAGCAUUGUUUCUCUUCCACUUCAUUUCCAACAGUUAGAACUUCUGCCUGAGUGAAGUAAAUCUACUAAAUACCACUUUCAUCUAGUUGCCGAGUCUGACUUGAGAGACUUUGCUUACUGUGUCCCACGUACAUUAUUUCUCUCAAGAAAUAAUUUAAAUCCCACCCCACCACUCAGGUCAUUCCUGAAACCAUCCUUCCUCAGUAUAGAGAGGGCGUUUCCGAGAUCACUGAUAAACUGCUAUGUUAUUGUGUACGUUACGUAUUUCCCACUCAGCAACAGCAGUAGGUUCUUCCAGGGCUGAAAUUAGGUUUUUGUUUGUUUGUUGUUGUUUUAAAAUAUCUCCCCCCUUAUUAUAGUUAGCAAAAUGGUUGUUCAAUAAAUGCCUACUUUCUGUUAA